AGUGAACGCUGGCGGUAGGCCUAACACAUGCAAGUCGAACGGCAGCACAGUAAGAGCUUGCUCUUACGGGUGGCGAGUGGCGGACGGGUGAGGAAUACAUCGGAAUCUACUUUUUCGUGGGGGAUAACGUAGGGAAACUUACGCUAAUACCGCAUACGACCUACGGGUGAAAGCAGGGGAUCUUCGGACCUUGCGCGAUUCAAUGAGCCGAUGUCGGAUUAGCUAGUUGGCGGGGUAAAGGCCCACCAAGGCGACGAUCCGUAGCUGGUCUGAGAGGAUGAUCAGCCACACUGGAACUGAGACACGGUCCAGACUCCUACGGGAGGCAGCAGUGGGGAAUAUUGGACAAAGGGCGAAAGCCUGAUCCAGCCAUACCGCGUGGGUGAAGAAGGCCUUCGGGUUGUAAAGCCCUUUUGUUGGGAAAGAAAAGCAGCAGGUUAAUACCCCGCUGUUCUGACGGUACCCAAAGAAUAAGCACCGGCUAACUUCGUG
rnacentral:rRNA from 1 species